rnacentral:sRNA from 1 species
CGUGAGGGCUGCCGCGGGUGGGUGGUGUCGAGGCCUGUCGGGUCAGGGCGGUUCCGGGGUGCUGUCAGAGCUGGGCCGGGGCCCCUAGGCAGGGUAGCUGAGUCGUAGAGGCGGGGGCCAGUCGCGGUCGGUGGAGCGGGAUGAGGAUGUAGGAGGGGCGGACGUGGCGGAAGCCGCGGGGUCCGCGUGGGCGGUGCCUCUAGGGAGCCAGGGAGGCCUUUCCCGAGGCCCCUGGGGAAGAAGAGGGGAAGCGAGUGUCCCUGGGGAACCCCCACUCCACUCCCAGCCGGAGACUGGGUUGUGUCUUCAUGGACCAGAGCCCACAGUGCGAGUUGCUAUAGGCAACCAGCCAGGGUGGCCAGCUCCUCCCCAUUUGCCAGUGAUGUUCUGGUUUUGGGACCAAAGCAUCGUAGGCUUCCAGCCCACUGCAGUGACCGAAUUCUGCGCCCCCUGCCCAUCUUCUCCCGCAGCUUCCCUAGAUUAGGUUUGGGAGGCAAGAGGAGGCCUCCUGACCUUUCACACUGCCUUUUUAAUAUUAAGAUGAAGGCACACUCCACAACUUUCUUCCAGCCAGGCCCAGACAUGUCCAUCCUUGUAAGAUAAAAGCUUCCAUGGGAGCCUUCCUUCCUAAUCAAGGUAGGUAGACUACAGGAAGGUACAUCUUGUUUUAUAUUUUGUCCUGUAGAAGUCAGAUUUCAGCCCAGUUGUGUAGGAGUGAGGAUGAGCCUGGGCUCAUAUCAGAGCUUUUGAGUACAGAGACAUUUGAUCUGGAAUUUUAGCCAGCCUCUUCAACCCCAGAAUUUAUAGGUUCAAUCAGAACAGAUAUUAGCUUAAGUUUUCCCAUCAAUCGUCUAUCAUUAAACUGGCAAAAUCUAGAUAAUUAGAAAAUAUGACAAAGAUGAUCCAGACAGAGAUGUUCAACUUUUUCCUUAAUUCAAAAAGCCUUGUGGUGGAACAUCGGACCCAUUCAAGAGGAAGGAUGAAAGCUCUAUAUAGGAACACGAUGUGAAUGGAAGAAACCUGUCAUUAUGCAGAUAAUACGGCACUCCGAACAGACACUAAAAACAGCUCUCAUCUCAAAGAACCCAGUGCUUGUGUCACAGUAUGAGAAAUUAGAUGCUGGGGAACAACGUUUAAUGAAUGAAGCCUUCCAGCCAGCCAGUGAUCUCUUUGGACCCAUUACCUUGCAUUCUCCAUCAGAUUGGAUCACCUCCCACCCUGAGGCUCCCCAAGACUUUGAACAGUUCUUCAGUGAUCCUUACAGAAAGACACCCUCUCCAAACAAACGCAGCAUUUAUAUACAGUCCAUUGGUAAAUACUGGUAAUGUGCUGGUUUUGGUUCGGUUUUGCAAUGGCGCUGUUGUCAGGAAUAGUCCAGGCUAUGGUCUGAUUCAGAUGGGCCGUUUUAGGAUCGUUUUUGAUAUUCAUUGAGGUGGUACAAGUUUUGUAGCCAAACUGACUUAAAAGAUAACAUUUUGUUUCUUUUUAAUUCAUAGCAACACCAAUGAAUGAUAAAGGUUAUUGAAAAUUUAGAAUUGGUUUUGUUUCUAAUUUGAAUCUUCUUACUCAUAGACUGGGUAAACACUGAAUAAUCAUCUUAAAGUCUGUUUUUAAAUGUUCUUCCAUAUUAUAGGCUCUCUAGGAAACACCAGAAUUAUCAGUGAAGAAUAUAUUAAAUGGCUCACGGGCUACUGUAAAGCAUAUUUCUAUGGCUUGAGAGUAAAACUCCUAGAACCAGUUCCUGUUUCUGCAACAAGAUGUUCCUUUAGAGUCAAUGAGAACACACACAACCUACAAAUUCAUGCAGGGGACAUCCUGAAGUUCUUGAAAAAGAAGAAACCUGAAGAUGCCUUUUGUGUUGUGGGAAUAACAAUGAUUGAUCUUUAUCCAAGAGACUCGUGGAAUUUUGUCUUUGGACAGGCUUCUUUGACAGAUGGCACUGGUGAGGUGGAUUGAUGAUGAAUCUUCUGACACACCUGGAGCAACUCCAGAACACAGUUGUGAGGAUAAUGGGAAUUUACCGAAACCCGUGGAAGCCUUUAAGGAAUGGAAAGAGUGGAUAAUAAAAUGCCUGGCUGUUCUCCAAAAAUAAGGACCUUCAAAUAGGAGUGAUUGAAAUAAAUCACUACUUGCAUGUUAUGCUUUCAUUUGAGUGGAAUACUUCAUUGGAAUAAACUACUGAUCUUGUGCUGUGUCAAAGUAACAGACUAGAACCUUCUUUCAAGUACCUGAAUUGAAAUGAAACUCAUUUUGAAUAAUAAAAACUCUAGAAACUC